ACAUUCCCCGCAAACACGACAUG
rnacentral:sRNA from 1 species